rnacentral:rRNA from 1 species
GAUGAACGCUGGCGGCGUGCCUAAUACAUGCCAGUCGAGCGAACAGACGAGGAUCUUGCGCCUCGGACGUUAGCGGCGGACGGGUGAGUAACACGUGGAUAACCUACCUAUAAUACGGGGAUAACUUCGGGAAACCGGAGCUAAUACCGUAGAAGAUAUUGAACCGCGUGGUGCAAUAGUGAGAGACGGUGGUGCGGGCACGUAUAGAGGGAUCUGCGCCGCAUGAGCUAGUUGUGAAGGUAACAGCUUACGAAGGCAAGGAGGCGUAGACGAACGCAGAGGGUGGUAGCCCACCCUGGAACUGAGACACGGUCAAGAGUCCUACGGGACGCAGCAGAAGGGAACCUUACGCAAUGGGCGAAAACAUGACGCAGCAGCGCCGCGUGAGUGAUGACGGUCUUCGGAUCGUAAAACUCUGUUAUUAGGGAAGAACAAAUGUGUACGUAACUAUGCACGUAUUGACGGUACCUAAUCAGAAAGCACCGGCUAACUACGUG